GACGAACCGUCCAAACGUUAUUCGGAAUUACUGGGCUUAAAGGGUGCGUAGGCGGCGCGGAAAGUUGGGUGUGAAAUCCCUCGGCUCAACCGAGGAACUGCGCCCAAUGCUACCGUGCUUGAGGGAGAUAGAGGUGAGCGGAACUUAGGGUGGAGCGGUGAAAUGCGUUGAUAUCCUAAGGAACACCGGUGGCGAAAGCGGCUCACUGGAUCUCUUCUGACGCUGAGGCACGAAAGCUAGGGUAGCGAACGGG
rnacentral:rRNA from 1 species